GUCAGAACCAGUUAACUCUCUCUCUCUCUCAAAAUCCCUCACAACAAACUCCUACAACACCUUACAAUUCGAUACAACUUUCUUACUUUGUCAGACUCCAUGUUCCUCUUUCUACACAGUUAGAGGUCCAACCAUCAGCAGCGUCCCAUCAGAUAACCUACAUCUCUCAAUGCUGAGUUUUCCUGAACUCUGUGAGGACGGGGUAUAUGUUCUCGAAAGCGG
rnacentral:misc_RNA from 1 species